GGGCUCGUAGCUCAGCUGGCUAGAGCGUCACAUUGACAUUGUGAAGGUCUGAGGUUCAAGUCCUCACGGGCCCA
rnacentral:tRNA from 3 species